UACGUAGGUGGCAAGCGUUGUCCGGAUUUACUGGGCGUAAAGGGCGUGCAGGCGGUCUGUUAAGUUCAGGGUGAAAGCUCCCGGCUCAACUGGGAGAGGUCCUUGGAUACUGGCAGACUUGAGGAGGGUAGAGGAGAGUGGAAUUCCCGGUGUAGUGGUGAUAUGCGUAGAUAUCGGGAGGAACACCAGUGGCGAAGGCGGCUUGCUGGGCCGGACCUGACGCUGAGACGCGAAGGCGUGGGGAGCGAACGGG
rnacentral:rRNA from 1 species